AUUACAAGAAAUGCUGGUAUAAAACAAGACAAUGAUCUUGACAAGCUUUUAUUAUGCCUCAAAAUAUCUGAUAAACAAACUGAAUGGAUAGAAAACUGCCAAAGACAAUUUUGCAAAAUGAUGAAAGCCAAACCUGAUAUAAUCAGUGGAGAGGUGCUCCCAAUUUUUAGGUUUUUCCUGUGUGAGAUACCAUCGAGAGUAUAAAAUGAACCUUAAUAGAAUUACUUGAAAAAUUUGUGCUUCAUCUCACUGAAAGCCCAUCUGAAUGCUACUUCCCUUCAGUGGAGUAUACAGCUACUGAUGCAAAUGUGAAGAAUGAAAGUCUUUCAUCUGUGCAGCAGCUUGGCAUUAAAAUGACUGUCAGGUAUGGCAAAUUCCUCAGUCUCUUAAAAGAUGGUGCAGAAAAUGAUCUUACCUGGGUUUUAAAGCAUUGUGAGAGAUUCCUGAAACAGCAGCAAACUUCCAUAAAAUCUUCUCUUCUCUGCCUGCAAGGGAAUUAUGCUGGCCAUGACUGGUUUGUAUCUUCUCUGUUCAUGAUAAUGUUGGGAGACAAAGAAAAAACAUUCCAAUUUCUUCAUCAAUUCUCCAGGCUUCUGACUUCUGCUUUUCUUUGGUUGCCAAGGCUACAUAUUUCUGUAAGACUUCAAUCUGUUUUUAAAGGAGGGUUUGAAAUUUUAAGAACAUUAUACUUACAUUCACUGGGGCAUAAUUUUAUUUGUGAAGGACUUUGUAAUAAAUUAUACUCAUUUUUCUA
rnacentral:lncRNA from 1 species